UUGUAAUGAUGAUUCGACAAAUUUUCACCAGAACGACAAUGUUGGCAUGAAAAACGAGCUUUUUAAAUCUGAACAAG